UUCGCCAUUCCUGAUCGAGUUAAUUUUAUUGACUUCUCGGAGAGAAUUAAUUAAACAGAGAAUCGUUGGCUCGCGAGCCGAUCAAAAGAAAUUAUUUCAUAGACCUGUUCUUCCAUGCCGCGUGCACCGUCGGUCGAUGGAGUUGGGUCUAGGUAAUAAUUUCGUGUGGUUAGCGCGUCUUUUGCAAUUUUAGUAAGUAUUCCCUCCGUUUUUAUUUAGUCUGCAUAUUAGCUUUGGUCAAAGUCAAGCUUUGUAAACUUUGACUAAGUUUAUAAAUAAAAAUAUUAAUAUAUACAAUAACAAAUCAAUACUAUUAGAUUCAUUGUUGAAUGUACUAACACAUUAUAUAGAUUUGUUAUGGUAAAUGCUUAUAAUUUUUUCUGUAAAGUUGGUCAAACUUUAUGAAGUUUGACUUCAGUCAAACCUAAUAUGCAGACUAAAUAGAAACGGAGGGAGUAUCUGGUGGUCUGCUGAGAAUUACUGCACGACAGUGCAAAGAUUUAAGUAAUCUUCUCUGUCAUGAACAUUUGAAUGGAAGUAAUGCUCCUGUCCCUUGUCCUGUCAUAUCGGCAUAAAUAUGCUGGAACAAUGUACUAGGGUGAUUGGCCAAAUGUAUAGAUGAACAUUGUGCAUUGAGUUGCGGUGGUUCACUGGUUUCUUUGAAUGAAUUGGUUCGUCAUUAAAGCUUCCACAAUAUCUUGUUUGCAGGGUUUAAAACCCCGGUGCCUUCCUUGAGGUUUAUAUUAUAUAAACCCUACAAAAU
rnacentral:lncRNA from 1 species